rnacentral:rRNA from 1 species
AGUAAGGGGCUGGGUAAGACGGGGUGCCAGCCGCCGCGGUAAUACCCGCAGCCCCAAGUGGUGCUCGUUUUUAUUGGGUCUAAAACGUCCGUAGCCGGCUUGGUAAAUUCUUGGGAAAAUCGGGCAGCUUAACUGUUCGAAGUCCGGGGAGACUGCCAGGCUUGGGAUCGGGGGAAGUUAGAGGUACUUUCAGGGUAGGGGUGAAAUCCUGUAAUCCUGAAAGGACCACCAGUGGCGAAGGCGUCUAACUACAACGAAUCCGACGGUAAGGGACGAAGCCCUGGGGCACAAACGGGAUUAGAUACCCCGGUAGUCCAGGGUGUAAACGCUGCGGACUGGAGUAAAUGGGAAGCCCUCGAGGUUGCCCAGUGCCGGAGAGAAGUUGUUAAGUCCGCUCCCUGGGAGUACGGUCGCAAGACUGAACCUUAAAGGCUUCACCGGGGGAGCACCGCAACGGGUGGAGCGUGCGGUUUAAUUGGAUUCAACGCCGG